AAUUCAUGGUGAGGACAUUUUCUUAGCAAAUCAUUUAACCUUUCCCAAGCUUCAUGGAAUUGCUCCCCAUAACUUUGGGUGAAGCCCAUUAUACCCGUUCUUAUUU